CGUCCCUCUCCCUUUCCGCCACUGUCUCCCUUCCCUCCAUCUCCUUCCCACCCCCACCGCCAAGAAUGAAAGAGUUAAGGAAAUCCCAAAUUUUACUUGCUAAAAAAUUUGCAGACUUUGAUACUUGAUGGGUGUACGAUUGUUGAAGAGUUGCCAAGAGAUGUACAGAACUUGAGCGAUCUCACUAUGCAAUCGAUAACCACGAAACAGAGGUUUCUACCCGAGAAUGGAGUGGGGCGCUUAAUCCGUUUGAGGUUUUUAGCCAUUACUGGAUGCCAGAACCUGAAAUAUUUGCCUCAAGAUAUUUGUAGAUCUCGAAAACUAGAGGAAUAAUCUAGCAACUGAUCUGCAACUUUUGACUUAGUAACGUUUGUAUAGUUUCUUGUAUUUUGUUAUAUGAAAUGUACCUAAGGUUUGAGUCUGUUGUGUAAUGUAAUGGUCAUUUUGAAAUCAUGAUGAUUUGGUUUAGUUUGUGAAUGGUGAAUUUGUUAAUUUGGUUAGUAAUGUCAUAAGAUUGGUGGUA